CUGGUGACCUCAACACCACAAGAAUUAGAAGAGAGCGACUAGGCAAGGUGUGAUUUUUGUUUUCUUGUAUUUUGGUUUGUUUUUGUUUUCUUGUUUUCUUG